rnacentral:rRNA from 1 species
CCUACGGGCGGCAGCAGUGAGGAAUAUUGGUCAAUGGUCGGGAGACUGAACCAGCCAAGCCGCGUGAGGGAGGAAGGUACAGAGUAUCGUAAACCUCUUUUGUCAGGGAACAAAGACUGGGACGCGUCCCCGGAUGAGUGUACCUGAAGAAAAAGCAUCGGCUAACUCCGUGCCAGCAGCCGCGGUAAUACGGAGGAUGAGAGCGUUAUCCGGAUUUAUUGGGUUUAAAGGGUGCGCAGGGGGUCUGUUAAGUCAGCGGUCAAAGCCCGGGGCUCAACCCCGGCCCGCCGUUGACACUGGCAGUUACGAGUGGGAGAGAAGUAGGCGGAAUGCGCGGUGUAGCGGUGAAAUGCAUAGAUAUCGCGCAGAACUCCGAUUGCGAAGGCAGCAUGCCGGCUCCACACUGACGCUGAGGCACGAAGCGUGGGUAUCGAACAGGAUUAGAUACCCGAGUAGUC